rnacentral:rRNA from 2 species
AAAUUGAAGAGUUUGAUCAUGGCUCAGAUUGAACGCUGGCGGCAGGCCUAACACAUGCAAGUCGAACGGUAACAGGAAGCAGCUUGCUGCUUCGCUGACGAGUGGCGGACGGGUGAGUAAUGUCUGGGAAACUGCCUGAUGGAGGGGGAUAACUACUGGAAACGGUGGCUAAUACCGCAUAACGUCGCAAGACCAAAGAGGGGGACCUUCGGGCCUCUUGCCAUCAGAUGUGCCCAGAUGGGAUUAGCUUGUUGGUGAGGUAACGGCUCACCAAGGCGACGAUCCCUAGCUGGUCUGAGAGGAUGACCAGCCACACUGGAACUGAGACACGGUCCAGACUCCUACGGGAGGCAGCAGUGGGGAAUAUUGCACAAUGGGCGCAAGCCUGAUGCAGCCAUGCCGCGUGUAUGAAGAAGGCCUUCGGGUUGUAAAGUACUUUCAGCGGGGAGGAAGGUGUUGUGGUUAAUAACCGCAGCAAUUGACGUUACCCGCAGAAGAAGCACCGGCUAACUCCGUGCCAGCAGCCGCGGUAAUACGGAGGGUGCAAGCGUUAAUCGGAAUUACUGGGCGUAAAGCGCACGCAGGCGGUCUGUCAAGUCGGAUGUGAAAUCCCCGGGCUCAACCUGGGAACUGCAUUCGAAACUGGCAGGCUUGAGUCUUGUAGAGGGGGGUAGAAUUCCAGGUGUAGCGGUGAAAUGCGUAGAGAUCUGGAGGAAUACCGGUGGCGAAGGCGGCCCCCUGGACAAA